UGCCAGUGAUAAACUGGAGGAAGGUGGGGAUGAUGUCAAGUCAGCACGGCCCUUAUGGGGUGGGCUACACACGUGCUACAAUGGCGACUACAAUAGGUUGCAACGUCGCAAGGCUGAGCUAAUCCGUAAAAGUCGUCUCAGUUCGGAUUGUCCUCUGUAACUCGAGGGCAUGAAGUCGGAAUCGCUAGUAAUCGUGGAUCAGCAUGCCACGGUGAAUACGUUCUCGGGUCUUGUACACACUGCCCGUCACGCCAUGGGAAUUGGCUUAACUCGAAGCUGGUGCGCCAACCGUAAGGAGGCAGCCAUUUAAGGUUGGGUCGGUGACUGGGGUGAAGUCGUAACAAGGUAGCUGUAGGUGAACCUGCGGCUGGAUCA
rnacentral:rRNA from 1 species